rnacentral:rRNA from 1 species
GAUGAACGCUGGCGGCGUGCCUAAUACAUGCAAGUCGAGCGAACAGACGAGGAGCUUGCUCCUCUGACGUUAGCGGCGGACGGGUGAGUAACACGUGGAUAACCUACCUAUAAGACUGGGAUAACUUCGGGAAACUGGCGCUAAUACCGGAUAAUAUAUUGAACCGCAUGGUUCAAUAGUGAAAGACGGUUUUGCUGUCACUUAUAGAUGGAUCCGCGCCGCAUUAGCUAGUUGGGAAGGUAACGGCUAACCAAGGCAACGAUGCGUAGGCGACCUGAGAGGGUGAUCGGCCACACUGGAACUGAGACACGGUCCAGACUACUACGGGAGGCAGCAGUAGGGAAUCGUCCGCAAUGGGCGAAAGCUUGACGGAGCAACGCCGCGUGAGUGAUGAAGGUCUUCGGAGCGUAAAAAUCUGUUAUUAGGGAAGAACAAAUGUGUAAGUAACUAUGCACGUCUUGACGGUACCUAAUCAGAAAGCCACGGCUAACUACGUG